UAUAUGUAUAUAUAUUAAUGGCACCCUUGAGUUCCACUUAUCAUUGUGCAUUAUGAAUUCUACAAAUCUUCUAAGUUCAAUAUAUUAUUUAUUUUCAAGAACUUGAAAGUUUGUUUUUAUCGUUGACUAAGUUUAACUAAAUUUUAUGAACAGAUUUGUGGGUAGUUUUUAGUUCCUGAUAAUUCAUAUAUAUAUUAAUAAGAAAGUAAGUGUUUAUUAUUUGUCAGAAUUCUAUAUGCUUGCAAAGUUGCCAUUAUAUAUAUGAAAGUAUGAACAACUGUAUGUCAAAUAUGUAUAUAUAUUAGACAUACAGUUGUUUUAUUUAAUUAGUAUUAUUAACGUUAAUGAAAUGUAUAUGUAUGUGUAUUAUUAAGUUAUUCUAUAUAUAUUAUUCUAUUCUAUAUAUAUAUGUACGUUGUGUUUGUAUAUGCAUUAUUUCCAGACGAACAUAAUUUGAUGUCCUCAAUUUUUCCGUUGGUGAUACGCAAAAACCAAAUUCGUUUAUUUAAAUGGAAUCAUAUAUUUUCGAAUAUAAUGAUCGAUCCAAAUUUCUGUCCCCUACGAUGACCAUUUUGAUGAUCAUAUUCAUGAUAUUCAUAAUAAUACAGUUAAAGGACGAGUCGUACUCCUCGAAUCCAUAAACGAGAGAUAAAAAAAAAAUAAACAGUCGUGUGCGAAUUAAAAGGGACAAAACGAGAAUAGUUGUGCUUUGAUUAUCGACUCGGUAGCAGGAGACAUAAAUGCUAUUGGCGACGUAAUCUCGAUGGAAUUAUUCAAGUAAUCCGAGGUGUCACACAAAACGAACGGAUAGAUAGAACGGAUAAAAGAAAAAUCAAUAUACGAGUGCGGUUAGUAAAUUAAUUAAGAACGCAAGUGAUCGCAACCUUUCGUUGAAAGGACGCUACACAGGAAGGCUCUUGAUCCGCCAUAAAAACAAAAACAACGCACAGUGUUUACCAUGAGGAGCCCCGAUGUGGUCGGCACUGGAACAUCGACCCGUUGCUACACAUAUGCGUAAGACACAGAACAUGACUCACGCGUAUCAUCGUGUGGGUAAUUGAGCACAUGUUCAUUAUUCAUGCGCAGGUAAGUAUUACGGAACCAUGGUAAACUUUAUUUCAGAUAAAAUAUUUGUGUACGAUAUCGUUUUAACGUUCAAUGCAAAAUUCAUUUGAUUCAGUACUCUGUUCAACUAUUUUAUCUGAUAUCAAAUUGUUUAUGAAUUUAGAUAAUUGUACAGUUAACUCGUUUAAUUAUUUAAAUAGUAAUAAGCAAACUCAGUUGCGCCCGAGACAGGUGCCUUUUUCGCCAGGCCCUUGUUACAGCACUGUUCCAUUGUAUAAUUCGGCCUUUAAUUUGUCCUUUAACAAAUAACGGAUACAAACUCGUGUUUCUUUUAUUCGUUACACGAAAUUUUCAUCUAAAUAGGAAUUUUCCUCCUUUUUCUCCUUGGAAGUUAUGCGCGAUGCGAUACUAGUACCGCCUUCGUGACGCCUACAGCAAAGCACUUAUAACAAAAAAACUUAUUGAUGAGCGCAUCUUGUCUCACAGACAUGUAACUAACACAUUCCUAUUGUUAUAAGCAGUCUCUGCAGCAGUGGCGUACCUAUACUAAAUAAAAAGUAAAACUCUUUCAGAAAUAGUUUUUUAUUUUAUAAGAUUGCUAGGCCUUUAUAAACAUAUGUCUAGAUCCACAAAUCGUUUAUAAAUUUGUGUGCAUUUAUAAAUAGAUUCUAAAUGGAAUAAUAAUUUAUUUGUAGAUUUGUAAACAUGUUAGGAGUUAUAUGUACAUUAUAAUAUUAUAAGUUUCUCGUACAUAAACGAAUUAAAAUAGGAAGAGGAUCGUAUUCUUUAUUCCAUUGAGAUCGUUUUAAUUACAGAAUGUUUAGCGUAUGCUGUAGGACAUUAGCAUUAUCUGUUGCUAAUAUACAGUAACGCAGGCAUAUAUGUAUCAUGCCCGAUGGAUUCGAAAUUCCAAGGUACAUUGGUCUUUAAAAUAUAAAAUAUUUCAUUCGUAACACACGUUUCUUAGUAAAAUAAUGUAGUUAUAUUUUUAACUCGUAAUUAUCGUCCGAUUACAGAUGUUCGAUCUA